AAUAUUGCACAAUGGAGGAAACUCUGAUGCAGCGACGCCGCGUGAGUGAAGAAGGUCUUCGGAUCGUAAAACUCUGUCCUUGGUGAAGAUAAUGACAGUACCUUAAGAGGAAGCCCCGGCUAACUACGUGCCAGCAGCCGCGGUAAUACGUAGGGGGCGAGCGUUGCCCGGAUUUACUGGGUGUAAAGGGCGCGCAGGCGGUUUUGUAAGUCAGCUGUGAAAGUCCAGGGCUUAACCCUGGAAUUGCAGUUGAAACUACCAAACUUGAGAUAAGGAGAGGAGAGCGGAAUUCCUAGUGUAGCGGUGAAAUGCGUAGAUAUUAGGAAGAACACCAGUGGCGAAGGCGGCUCUCUGGCCUUACCCUGACGCUGAGGCGCGAAAGCGUGGGUAGCGAACA
rnacentral:rRNA from 1 species